UGGGGAAUAUUGCACAAUGGGGGAAACCCUGAUGCAGCGACGCCGCGUGAACGAAGAAGGUAUUCGUAUCGUAAAGUUCUGUCCUAUGGGCAGAUAAUGACAGUACCAUAGAAGAAAGCUUCGGCUAAAUACGUGCCAGCAGCCGCGGUAAUACGUAUGGAGCGAGCGUUGUCCGGGAUUAUUGGGCGUAAAGGGUACGCAGGCGGUUUAAUAAGUCGAAUGUUAAAGAUCGGGGCUCAACCCCGCAAAGCAUUGGAAACUGAUAAACUUGAGUAGUGGAGAGGAAAGUGGAAUUCCUAGUGUAGGAGUGAAAUACGUAGAUAUUAGGAGGAGUACCAGUAGCGAAGGCGACUUUCUGGACACAAACUGACGCUGAGGUACGAAAGCGUAGGGAGCAAACAGG
rnacentral:rRNA from 1 species